GAUCCUGGCUCAGGACGAACGCUGGCGGCACGCCUAACACAUGCAAGUCGAACGGAGAUAAAGACUUCGGUUUUUAUCUUAGUGGCGGACGGGUGAGUAACACGUGAGCAACCUGCCUCUGAGGAGGAGGGGAUAGCUUCUGGAAACGGAUGGUAAUACCUCGAUAACAUAGCGGUACCGCAUGAUACUGCUAUCAAAGAUUUAUCGCUCAGAGAGUGGGCUCGCGUCUGAUUAG
rnacentral:rRNA from 1 species